UUCUGUUGGUUUUCUCUUCUUCUUUUUCUUUAACUGAGUUCCAAAAACCUCCAAAUCUAAUUCUAUGAAAUUCAAUCCAAGACCAUUUGAGUUAAGAAUCGAAAUCAGAGUUUGGGAAAUAGUUAAUCUCGAUUAAAAUUUCUUCAAUUUCGGCGAAAUUUCUAUUGAAAUCUGCUUCUUAGAUUCAUGAAAAGUUUUUAAAUUUUGAAAUCGUCGUAUGAACCUGUUUUACGAUCUAAGCUAUCUGCGGCGGUUACAGUUUCACCACCAGCUCCGGAAGAGAGAGAGAGACAGGGGUCGAUGCCGAUGAGGCGAGGCGGAGGAGAGAGGACAAUCUCGUCGAGAUUAGAAAAAAACAAGCGUGAGGAUAGUCUCCUCACGAAGCAGCAGCAGCAGCCUCCCGGAGCUGGCCUCGACGAAUGUUGCCGUCGUUGAGAAACGAGUAAGUUCCCGAUCUGAAUUUCGAGACAAUUGUGCGUGACUUUUUGAUUUGGAUCCCAGGAUUUGAUUAUUUAGUGAUGUAUCUUUGUUUGAUUAUUGAAAAAAGUGAGGCUUUGAUUCUAGAUACACCACGUUCAACUAGUGUGUUGUGUUUGAAUUUUAAUAUUUGUAAUUUGGUUUUAUUAGUUGCAACAACGGGAAAAGAUUAACAACGAGAUUUAUUACCAUGUCCUUCUUCACAUGUAAUGCCUUUUGCUUCUCCAUGAGAUAUUGGUGCACCUUCUCUUGUUCCAAUUCGGGCUUCUAGAUCAUCUAUCAGAUCCUCAAGCUCUAGGUAUGGAGGAAGAUCCAAUCAACCUGCAUAUUCUUUGGAAGGUGAUCUGAAAAAUGAGUGUUGCUCUGUCAAAGAUAGAGAAUAAGUGGAAGGAAGAGCUUGAUCAAGAACUAUAAAGAAAGCGCACAAGUCAAGUCUUUUUUGUGACAAUCAUGAUUAUACACUGCACGUACUUGUGAAUUAAGAUUGCACAUGACUUAUGUUUUUGUAUUUCAUUUCUGUAUUUUGUUGUGUUGUAGAUUAAGAACAUAUUACUACAUGUACAACUAGAUCACUUAGGUACAACUGAGACAAUUUUUGUAUAACUUGAACUACUUGGUGCAACUACACUA